rnacentral:lncRNA from 1 species
UCCCAUCCUUGCUUGGCUGCUUUAGAGAGACAGAGAGCGAGAAUUGGGCUGAGAGUCUCGUCUCCGCUCCUUCUCAAACCCUCAGCCCCUCUUGUCUCCUUCCCGCUGACCGCCGACCGUCGCCCGCCGCCUUCCACCCUCUGGUCCUUCCGCGUCGCCUCCCACCCCAAACCCCCUGAGUGGCUCGGUUACUCACUGAAGGUGUCAAGGCAGUCGAGCUCACCGUCGUGGGCUCCGGCAAUGUCAUCUUCUUCUCCUGGUCGCAGCAGACUCGGCAACGUCGUCGUCUUCUCCUGGUCGCGGCAGACUUGUUGCCGGUCGUCGUCUUCUCCUCUUCGCAUCGCCGGUCUUCGCAGGUCUUCCUUCCCCUUUUCUCCGUCAGGUUCAGGUAAGUCAGCCCUGGUCUUCGCUGGUCUUCCAUUCCCUUUUUUGAAUUUAGAUUUCUGAAUUAGGGUAAAGAAUUUCUGUGUUCUGAAUUAAUGAGAUUCCAAUUAAUCUGAAUUUCUGUGUUUUGAAUUUCUGGAUUUCUGAGUUUUGAAUUUCUAAAUUUCUGAUUAGGUUAACGAAUUUCUGAAUUUCUGAUUAGGUUAAUGAAUUUCCGACUAUGAAUUUCUAGUUGUGUAAUUAUAUUUCUGAGUUAGGUUGAUAUGAAAUUGAUUUCUGAUUCUGAUUAAUAUUUCUGAGUUAAUAUUGAGUUAAUCUGAAGUUAGGUUAAUCUGAUUCCAAUUAUGAAUUUCUGGUUUUGUAAUUUAUAUUUCUGAAUUAGAUUGAUAUGAUUUUGAUUUCUGAUUCUGAUUUAUAUUUUGGGUUGAUUUGAUUCUGAAUUUUUUAAUUAGGGUAAUUAGGUUCUGAGUUUUGAAUUUUCUGAUUCUGAUUUCUAUUUAGGGUUGAUUUAAUUCUGAAUUUUUUAAUUAGGAUAAUUAGGUUCUGAUUUUUGAAUUUUCUGAUUCUAAUUUCUAAUUAGGGUUGAUUUGAUUUUGAAUAUCUGAUUUAGGGUAAUUAGGGUCAGAUUUUAUUGAGUUAUUAUAUGAUUUAACUUUUUAAAUUGUUUUCUUGUUGAUGUAGGACUCAAGUAAGUCGGAAUCUACCAUCACUACCAUUACGGGAUGAAAGAAAGAUUGAGAUGGUGGAAUUAUGUUUUUAUGAUAUCAUGAACUUUAUUUGGUUGUUUAUGAAUAUGGUUGGUUGUUUAUGUAAUAUUUGGUUGUU